CCCCCAGACCUGGGUGCCCCCCCUCCCGGGGACCAACGCCAUGGUGGAGGAGCUGGUGCCACUGCUGGAGCCCCCCCGACUGAAGUCUUCCUCGACCUCUGGAACAUGCUCCCUGAUAACAUGCACUCGUUGUCCCCCCCCAACAAUCCCCUGGC